GGUAAUUUAUGCUUGAUAUAGUACAUGCACGUGUAAGCUGUGGACGUUUGUAAGCGUGGCGGGCUGUACAACCGCGCGCACAUAUAAUAUAAUUGUGGUGGGUCUCCCACCGAACCGGGAUCCAGAACGUGACAGCGGUCGGCUCCAUUCAUUUAGACAAGAAUCUAUUGAUGAGAAAGUGACCCUUGGAAUAGGAUAAGAUUACUCUAAUGUGACGGCACCACUUCCUUCCUUGAGGUUGGCAUCUAUCUAUUUUAUGAAGUUCUGGUCUACAUCCCGGCCCAUAUCAAGUUGGGGAGAAAAAGAUCUUCCUAUUUUCGUGGUAUCUAUCUAUUCGCUGCUUCAUAAGUUUCUAUUUCAAGUCCAAAGUUACAGUGCUCCGGUUAUGAAUCCAUGGGCUUCAAGAUGAGUACUGCGGGCUAGCUCGAUCUUACUUGAGGAUGACUUGGCCACUAUGAUUGAAUGAAUUCAGAGUGGCAUCGGUGGUGGUGGCAUGAGCUACUUCUUGCUUCGGAACAUUUGGGACAUGACGAGUGAUGAUGUAGUCUUUUAAGCUAAGCAUGUGUUCAGAGAAGCAAAUGGAGCCGUGGAUUGGAUGGCUUUGUAUAUGUUCAGUCACUCCGAAGACAGUCUAUGGCUUUAUUUAAAGCGCUCUCGAAUUUGCUGUUUUCUAAUCUUAUUGGAUGUAUUCGUACUAGGACUGUAUGAAUCAUCUGUUUCAGCAAAAAAAAAAAAAAACCUUAGAGAUGAAAAAAAAAAUCCAAAUAGUACAUGAAAUGGACAUCUAUCCAUCCUAAACACCAUGAAAUACUUAAAAAAUGGAUAUGAUUAAGAGUCUCCAUCCCUCUAGUUCAACUCCAAAAUGGAAAGAAUUUAAACUCGAAUAGCUUUGAUGAUGACUGGAUGCCGAUCGAUAAGACCGUGAUAUAGAUAGGAGCUAUAUGAUCAUCCAGGCUACCAGGGAAAAAAAAAAGAGGAAGAAAGAAAUGUAUUUGGUGGCGGCGUGUGAGAUAGACGUUCUUUCGUGCAGGUCGCUGCAAUGUGCCGUCCGUGAACAUAAAGAUAGGGAGGAGAUGUCAAUGGCUUUCGUUUGAUGGGAAAUUCUAGGCGACGGCCCGGACCACACCAUUGAAGAGAACCACGGAAGUUCAUGAGCAUGUAAGAGAACUGAAUCAUUAGUACAAGCUUGGAGGAGCUCAUGAGCAAACGACCUGGAUGAUGACAAGCUCCAUGCUUCAUUUGAGCCUCCUCAAGCUGGAGAUGUUAUAUUUUGUUUGGACUUCUGGGAGCACUCUUCCAUGUCAUGGCAAUUUGAAUUUAUAAGUUCAAUUGUAAAUCUAGUCCGCAAAUUCUUGUGUUCAAAGAUAAAUCAAUCUGUUCUGCUAAACUACUGCAAUGUAAGCCGCAUGACAUUAUAGAUUUUUUUUUUUUUUUUGCC